AACGCACGAGACCUGCGGACCUGCGGAGGGAUCAUUACCGAGUUUACAACUCCCAAACCCAAUGUGAACGUUACCAAACUGUUGCCUCGGCGGGAUCUCUGCCCCGGGUGCGUCGCAGCCCCGGACCAAGGCGCCCGCCGGAGGACCAACCAAAACUCUUUUUGUAUACCCCCUCGCGGGUUUUUAUAUCUGAGCCAUCUCGGCGCCUCUCGUAGGCGUUUCGAAAAUGAAUCAAAACUU
rnacentral:misc_RNA from 1 species